rnacentral:rRNA from 1 species
UACGAAGGGGGCUAGCGUUGCUCGGAAUCACUGGGCGUAAAGCGCACGUAGGCGGCUUACUAAGUCAGGGGUGAAAUCCUGGAGCUCAACUCCAGAACUGCCUUUGAUACUGGUGAGCUUGAGUCCGGAAGAGGUGAGUGGAACUGCGAGUGUAGAGGUGAAAUUCGUAGAUAUUCGCAAGAACACCAGUGGCGAAGGCGGCUCACUGGUCCGGGUACUGACGCUGAGGUGCGAAAGCGUGGGGAGCAAACAGG